rnacentral:misc_RNA from 1 species
UCUCGGCUUAUCACCGGCAGUCCCCCUAGAGUGCCCAACUGAAUGAUGGCAACUAGGGGCGAGGGUUGCGCUCGUUGCGGGACUUAACCCAACAUCUCACGACACGAGCUGACGACAGCCAUGCAGCACCUGUGUGCAGGUCCCCGAAGGGAAGGAAUCCGUCUCCGGAAGCCGUCCUGCCAUGUCAAGCGUAGGUAAGGUUUUUCGCGUUGCAUCGAAUUAAUCCACAUCAUCCACCGCUUGUGCGGGUCCCCGUCAAUUCCUUUGAGUUUUAAUCUUGCGACCGUACUCCCCAGGCGGAGAGCUUAAUGCGCUAGCUGCGCCACUGAGAGAUAAAUCUCCCAACGGCUAGCUCUCAUAGUUUACGGCGUGGACUAC